rnacentral:tRNA from 1 species
GCCCCCGUAGUUCAACGGAUAGAACAUGCCCCUCCUAAGGGCAAAAUACAGGUUCAAUUCCCGUCGGGGGUACCA